CUGGCGUCGGUGCUGGGGAGUGGUUCCUGGGGUGGCCCUCCACUCCGACCCAUCCUGGGGUCUGCAGUCUUGCUUCGGGCUCG
rnacentral:pre_miRNA from 1 species